GUUUUCUUUGUUUUUGUUUUUUUGUUUUUUUUUCCAGUACUGGGAAUCGAACUCACAAUGUCGUGCUUGCCAGGCAGGAGCUGAGCCGCUGAGCUAAAUCCCAGCCCCAGAAAUUAGUUUUCUAGAUUGUUAGAUGUUCAUGUUUAAGAUAUACAGUGUGCAGACCAGAGAGGGAAACAGUGACCACUGGAGGGAAGAUGGGAAGUGGCCCUCACCACAGACUCUGGUUCCUUUUCUCCUAUGGAACAAAAGGCCUGAACCGCUGGGGAAGGACAGCAAAGCUCUUGUCUGCAGACAAAGGUUGGCCCAAGACAUUCCCUAUCAAUACCAAGCACAUAUGUAAGCUGAAAUGAAAGCAAGGCCUCAGGUAAGCAUCCCGAAAAUGAACAAGGAUCAAGGGGAAUAAUGCACUGAGGUCCUGGGAACAGUGUCCUCAAGAUUCAGCUGUGCAUGGACUGGUCAGCAUCCAGAGUGACCAGAGCAGACCUUGGGUGUGCUGUGUCUUCACAAUGAGUCCUGGAGGAGCUGUCUGGUUCAGGUAAACUCUCAACAAGCAUAUAGAUGGGUUUCUUUAACUCUGAUAUUGU
rnacentral:lncRNA from 1 species